rnacentral:lncRNA from 1 species
UAAAAUUCUUACUUAGUGAAGGGGGAGUGGGUACAAGUAUUUUUUAAAAAGUCAUAAAGGUUUUUGUAGGUUGGAUUCAUAUUAUGAAAAUAAAGUUGACUCAUCAACCUUCAAAUAAUUUAAUAUUUCCCUUAGCUUUCGACCGACACGGUCAUCCUCAGAGGAACUACUGAGAAGAUCACUAGGAUUCUUUCACGCCAUAACAUCAGAUGCUGAAUGAGACCAGAAAGAACUCUGCGGAAUGUCUUAUCUAGACCAAAAGACCAGGUCCCCCAGGAAAAGCAAGUUGGAGUUAUUUAUUCCAUUCCUUGUGGUGAAUGCAGCAUCAAAUACAUCGGGGAAAUGAGCAGAGCUCUUGGAACUAGGUGCAGUGAUGGUGCUAGUGAUGGUUUACUCGAAAGAUUAUACUACUUAAACUACCACUGCAAACUCACUAUGUGUGUAAAUAAAUUGAAUUGAAUUGUAAAGAACAUCAGGCGGCAGUACGUUUGAACAAGGCAGAAAGAUCAGCCUUAGCCCAGCAUGCGGAUGAAACGGGGCAUUUAAUCCAAUGGGGUGACAUUUCAAUCGUGAAAAAGAGUAAAGAUGGAACCAAAGAAAGUGGCUGGGAGCAUGUGAAAUAUCAAAGCGCAAGAACAUUAUUUUUAAUAGAGACAACGGCAGAAUUCUGCCAGCAAAUUACAUAAAUCUUUUGUAAUUUUCAAUACUCGUGCUUUCGGGUUUGUGCGCGCAAUUCUAUUGCUCGCGCACAUGUACUAAGUUUGAUCGCGUAUAGUUUUGUUGAUAUCAUGUACUUAUUGACUAGUGAGUUAGGUCGGGCCGUACGGGAAAAUAUUUGGCUCGAGGUGAUGCUGUACGGACCGAAUGCAGCGAGCUCCGUACAAAUGACCGAGAGCCAAAUAUUUUCACGUACGGCCCGACCAAACUCAGUCAAUAAGCAUUUUAUCAUAUGACCCUCACGAAAGAAAUAAUAAAAAAAUGAAAGAAAGAAAGAAAUAGUUAAAUAAAAGCUAAAAAAGAGAAAGCGCGCGGAUUCGAGAUCGGUACGGCCUUGCUCGAGCCAUUUUCCCGAAGGUUUUUCUAAGAGAGCGCGUCCGGGCAGAUACGGGACAUAUGAUAAUGUAACGUAUUUUAGUUCCUCUGAUGAUGACCGUGUCGGUCGAAACCUAAUUAAGGGAAAUUAUUUAAAGGUUGAUGAAUCAACUUUAUUUUCAUAAUAUUUUUAAAAAGUUUACUGCGAAUCCUCCAACCCUCCAAAUCAAAACGUACUUUCCGUCACAAUAAUUUUACUUCCUGAAAUCUAAUUCCUUGCCAUAUUCAUUGACAAUGUGCUUAUCCAAAAUAUCAAGAACUAUUAAAGGUAGGUUAAUGGGAUGAUUUCUAAGAGCUCGAGUAAGGAACUAACUGAAUUAAGGAGAACUGACCCCAAAAUGAGCUAGAGUCAGCUUUGUUCAACGCUUGUUGCGUACAGUCACACAAACAACUGUAAGGAGAAUCUUGGAUAAAUUUGGAUACUGUUUUGGCAACGUCAGCACGAGAAACGGGUUCGAUAUGAAGACGCAAUGAAGGUUUUAAUUUGACUUGGCAUGCAUCAUUCAGGAUAUAGAAAGUCCAUAUAAAUAAACCCACACAUCUAUGGCUAAUUUGCUUACCGGCGUCCACGGCAACUGUAGUAACAUAAACAUAGUACAAAACAAUCAAACACACAAACCAGAGUGUGUUCUUGUUAUGUGAUGAAACCAUCUCAGGCCAGGAGUAGAAGUAUAGAAGGGAACUCAGUAUCUAGACUGAACUUCACUUUAGAUUGACCUUUGAAGUUUGCUGUGCGGAAGUUAGUGUCAGUUAUAUAAAACGUAAACCUAGCAAGCUAAUCCCAUGGCUGUGCAUGAAAAGAUAGUGUUACAAAAA